rnacentral:hammerhead_ribozyme from 1 species
AUCCAGUUGAAGAGUCCUAAACAGCACGAGACGUGCGUUCUGGAU